rnacentral:rRNA from 1 species
UACGUAGGGUGCGAGCGUUAAUCGGAAUUACUGGGCGUAAAGCGUGCGCAGGCGGCUUCCUAAGUCAGAUGUGAAAUCCCCGGGCUUAACCUGGGAACUGCGUUUGAAACUGGGAGGCUGGAGUGCGGCAGAGGGGGGUGGAAUUCCACGUGUAGCAGUGAAAUGCGUAGAUAUGUGGAGGAACACCGAUGGCGAAGGCAGCCCCCUGGGCCUGCACUGACGCUCAUGCACGAAAGCGUGGGGAGCAAACAGG